AAUCUGCAUCACUUCCCAGGCCGUCGGACCCAGGAAGCGGAGAUCGUUCCGGGCAUAGGAUCAGGCUGGCGCUGCUGGAUAAUGAGGGUGAAGUGCUGAGCUCUAGUGAUUCUACUGGAGCUCUGUGUGUCUCCCAGACCUGGCCUGGUAUGGCCUGCAUCAUCCACAACCACCACCAGAGAUUCAGCUUACCCAGACAGAAGCCAGGCAUGGACCAAGACCAGCAGCAGGAGACAAACACCAAGGACAUAGUGACGGUGGUGGGGCUGUGCUGUCCGUUGGGAAUCACAUGGAACUUUGCCUUCCAUUUUUGUAUAAAAAUAGUUUUAAAGCGAUUAAAUCACUUAAUUUGCUUUCUUAAUCUGUAAAAAUCUUUACUACAUUUAAAUGAAAUGUAUGUACAGUUGAAUUUAAUGUUAACAUUGUUUAAAGAUUAAUAGCUUUGGGGAAAAAAAAUACAAUUGCAGAUCUCUCAUUGAUAUAAUUUUAUUAUUGUGUGUGUAAUACAGUUGAAGUCGGAAGUUUACAUACACUUAGGAUGGAGUCAUUAAAACUCAUUAUUCAACCACUCCACAUAUUUCUUCUUAACAAACUAUAGUUUUGGCAAGUCGGUUAGGACAUCUUUGUGCAUGACACAAGUAAUUUUUCCAACAAUUGUUUACAGACAGAUUAUUUCACUUAAUCACAAUUCCAGUGGGUCAGAAGUUUACAUAAAGUUGAAUGUGCCUUUAAACAGCUUGGAAAAUUCCAGAAAAUGUCAUGGCUAUACAAGCUUCUGAUAGCAACGAGGCCUACAAACCUGACUCAGUUACACCAGCUCUGUCAGGAGGAAUGGGCCAAAAUUCACCCAACUUAUUGUGGGAAGCUUUUGGAAGGCUAACCGAAACAUUUGACCCAAGUUAAACAAUUUAAAGGCAAUGCUACCAAAUACUAAUUGAGUGUAUGUAAACUUCUGACCCACUGGGAAUGUGAUGAAAGAAAUAAUAAAAGCUGAAAUAAGUCAGUCAUUCUCUCUACUAUUAUUCUGACAUUUCACAUUCUUAAAAGAAAGUGGUGAUCCUAACUGACCGAAGACAGGGAAUUUUUACUAGGAUUAAAUGUCAGGAAUUGUGAAAAACUGAGUUUAAAAGGUACUUGGCUAAGGUGUAUGUAAACUUCCGACUUCAACUGCACGCACACAGCAAUUCCAACAAAGAAAACUGUAAAAAAAAAAAAAAAAUUAAUAUACUACAUUUUAAUUACAGAACAGUUGGCCCCCCCCCAAAAAAUACAAAAAAAAAAGAAAAAGGCACAAAAUUCUUUAAUGGCCAAUACAGUAAUUCAGAAGACUAUUGGAGAACUGAUAAAACAGCAUUCAGUCUUGGACUUGUCAUUUCAGAGAGCUAUAUUGACUAUAUUUACUGGGGACAGGAGACAUGGCGGGAACUGUAGAUAUAUGUCUGAACCUGGACCCUGACAGAGCACAAACACCCCCCCUUCAGGGGUGGACUGGGACCAGAAAUCAGCCUUGGCAUUUAACACACUGGCCCAUUAAUUCCUUGAAGCUCCCACACAGGUAAUAUUUUUUUUGCUUUAGGACCCAUUAUGAUUAUUCUACGAUAUACCCCAAUUUAGCCAGGCCACCUGGGCUAAAGAUGGACUAGCCCAUCUGGCAUUGGCCUGAAUCGCCCUAUUGCCAGUCCACCUCUGACCCCCUUGCACUUUGCUAAACACAUGGAAGACAAGGAGAGAAAGAGGUUACUUUCAGAUGUUAGGACUUACUAUUUUAUAAGUUUGUUUGUGGGAUUGGACAACCAUUAGAAAAACAAUUGACAUUUUGUACAGGAUAUCCAUUUGGCCUUGAAGACUCCCCAAGUUAAUGCCUUUAAGUUCGCGCUUAUGGCGUGUAAUAGACCUGAAAUCGAAUCCCAUUAACUUGAAUAAUGCCGGAACAUUCUAGCAUACAGGACCUGUACCACAGCACCCCCUUCAGAUUGGGAGGUUCUACUACAGGAGAGUAGACUUAAUAAAAAGCAGUUCACCUGCAAUAGAGGACUGCUUUGCUAUUACACAAUACAGUAUCUUGUCAUCUCACACAUGGAGACUGUUCUUCAUAAGGGCAUACACAAACACAGUGAAAUAAACUAUAAAAAAAAAAAUACAAAAUAAGCAUUGAUCCCCCGUGCAUCCGGCAAAGGCGGAGGUGUUGCUAACAUUUACGAUAGCAAAUUUCAAUUUAUAAAAAAAACCCAGAUGUUUGUCGUUUGAGCUUCUAGUCAUGAAAUCUAUGCAGCCUACUGAAAUCACUUUGAAGCUACCGUUUACAGGCCUCCUGGGCCAUAUACAGCGUUGCUCACCGAGUUCCCUGAAUUCCUAUCGGACCUUGUAGUCACGGCAGAUAAUAUUCACAUUUUUGGUGACUUUAAAUAUUCACAUGGAAAAGUCCACAGACCCACACCAAAAGGCUUUCGGAGCCAUCAUCGACUCAGUGGUUUGUCCAACAUGUCUCCGGACCUACUCACUGCCACAGUCAUACUCUGGACCU
rnacentral:lncRNA from 8 species